rnacentral:lncRNA from 1 species
UUUUCUCGAAGGAUGUAGAGGAUGUUGGUAAGAAGGUUGAGGUACCUGUAGCAAAUCCGGUUAGUGCUCCGAAGUGUCAGUCUGGUGAAUCCAGCAAUUUGAAGCCUAAUGAUGAUGAUGAGGUGCUUCGUUUGAUUUAGAAGAGUGAAUUCAAUGUAGUGGAGCAGCUUCUCCAGACUCCUUCCAAGAUUUCAGUGAUGUCUCUGCUCAU